ensembl:lncRNA
UUUUUUCUUUUUUUUUUUACUAGAUUUCUUAGUGCUGAGGUGUUAAAUAAUGUAAUUUCAACCAUGAUGAAUUAUUAGAGCUUAUUACCAAGUCUACCACUUGCUCUUUGCAAAUGUCAUGGAACAAAGAGAUUAAGGUACUGAAUUUAGAAACUUAGGAACUUUUGUCUGUUUUGCAGACAAAAUAUUUGCCUUUCUAAAAUGAAAAGGCUCUGCUCCUGUUGUAAAGGAAAUUUAGAACACACAUUUUUAUACCAAAUAGUAGAUAGUAAAAAUCAUAAAUCCUUCUUACUGUCUUAUUUCUUUAUUCUUCAGCCACCAAUGAAGCAUACACAAUUUUACAGGACUUCUUAUACUUUCUCUCCUUCACAUGCCUUGUCACUUUGUUACGCAUAUACAAAGGACAGAGGAGAAGUUCUAAAUAAGUAUCAAUAUAAAAAUACUUACUAAGAAGAACUCAAAGAUACAGUGUAAAACUUCCAUACUUAUCUGAUGACGACAUUCCAAAUAGAAGUGUUGAUAGUCACAGGAAAGAAUGAAAAAUCCCAUUAUUCACUACAGGAUGGAGUCAGCUGGCCAAAUCUCCAAUCAGUUCUGAACAGCCUGGUCCCUCAUUCAAUGAAGAGAGGAUAUUUAUUCUAUACAGAAUUUAACAACAUCAAUGGUCAAAGUGGUUCUGGUUCUAUUGGUGAAAAAAUGUUUUCACAUAUGACAAAAUUUGCACAAAGCUUGAGUAUCUUUGCAGGAAACAUUGGUCUAGUUAAAAGAAAACAAAACAAAACAAGGGCAACCAAAAAAAAAAAACCAAAAAAAAAAAGAGUCCCCUUACCCCCCAGAACAGUUAAUAAAAAUUUUCCUUUAACCUGAACUUUAAUACAAGAUUUAAAACUUUUAUCUACUGCUUUUGUAAAUUUCUAAUUAAUAGGCUGUUUUACAAGAUUUCCUUAGCACUUUACUAUUAACUGUGAACUGGCUCAAAAUAUUUUGCCAGAAAAUUUGAAACUAAGAUCUGAGUUUCAACUGCAGUCUCUUCUUUAAUGAGAAUUCAUUAUUACCUACUGUCAUUUUCCAAAUACAUAUAGUUUUAUUUUUCAGUCAGGUUUUAGUUUUUCCUUUUUCAGUCAGGUUUUAGUUUGAUUGAAGAAUGUCUAAGAAAGUUUUUUUUUACUUGUAUCACACUGUUAAAGAUUCUUCUUCUCCAUCUUUUCCAUGGUACUUAAUUGACAUGAAAGAAAAUUUACUUGUGUAAGACCACUGGGAGUAAUAAAUAACAAUACCAUUGUCAUUCCAGCAGUUAAAAUUUUCUAAUUAUUAUUUUUAAUGAUUGAGAAUAAGAAAGCACACAGAAAUACUCAUUUAAAUAGCAUAUCAGUUGUCUAGCUGUAUGCUGGUACAUAGACACUUACAAAUGAAUCUCGGUGGAACCAAUUGGUCUCUGCAGCUCAGUUGCAGCAAAGAUGUUUCUGCAUAAUCAGAGACAGAGAGUGGUUCUGCCCUCCUAAACUUGUGAUAGGCAAAGGGAAUUCACAGCUGAGGGGAGCUAAAUACAGCUGGUUUUAUCUCAGUCAGAAACACUCUCUUCUAAACAGUCUGACUGAACUUCACCAUGACAAAAAAUUUCAGGUAACUAUAUUCCAAAAUUAAAGUUAUUGCAGAAGAAGUUUCAAGCUUUUGAAACAAGCUUUGCAGCCCCAAGUCCACAGACAAGGUGUGGGCACUGUGGGAGUGGCAAAGAUAAUUGAAAUGUAAAAAAAAAGUUAAGAAGAGACUAGGUUUCAAGCCUGGUAUGAUGACCUAGCCCACAGCACGUAAAAUGGAUGAAGAGAACACUUUCAUCACUAUUUUUCAGCGUCCUUACUCUAUUCUUGUUACCUUAAAUCUCUAGGACUUUCAAAUCAACAUAAAUUAAGCCUUCUGAAAAAGAAAUAUAGUUUUAGGACUCUCCAGUAUCAUCAUCUCCCCUGAUUUUCCUUUCCUAAAUAGAAAUAGGCAGUAUUAUCUGAUGGCAUUUCAUAUUCAGGUCAACAGAACCAGAGGUGAAAACCAGAAAAAGUACCUUUCUGCUGUGCUGAAAUACUGUGGUCUUCUGACAUUCUGUUAUUUGAAAAUAUAUCUGAGAACAAAAUUUGUGGACCUGCAUACAUAUAUCAUCAGUCUAGGAAUAGAUUUUGUAUUGACAGAAAUUAAGUCUUAGUGAUUUUAGACAGCUUCAAGAUUAAGGAGAUACAAUUUGAGGUCACAAUUUUGGAUUUCAUCACUAAAUGUCUGUAUGAAUCCUGCUUUAGGAAUUCUAAUCCUUUGCAGCGUCUGGUCCCUGGUCCUGUAUGCCUUGCCAAGAACUGGCAAACUUUUGCCAGUGAAUGAUAGAUCAUUCUGCCACCUUUUUCAAACAGAAGAGUAAAGCAUUUUUGUUAAAGAAACUCAGUCUGCUAGUCAGCAGAAUGCAAAUGGAGGUGGAGACAGAAAAUAAAUGUGUCUGGGGAAGGAAAAGGAGACUAGAGAGGAAGGAACAUCUAUUUCACAUUCAACAUCUUCUGUUGCGAAGUUCAGCUGUAGAAAUACCACUCUGACUUAUUUUGGUUAGGUCAUCUUCAGAAUGAGGUUGACAAAGAUCUACUGGUCAUGAUGAUGAGAGAUAGUGACAGCAGUAGCUAGAAAGGCAAAACACACUGCCUUCAGCUUACGCAUCUCUGCAGCAUGGUCAUCAGCUGAAGAUGUACAACAGGCAGAAAGCCUAUUCCACAUUCCUCAGUUUGUCACAAAUCUCAAUAUAUGUAAGUGUAGUUCUUGCUUAUGCAAGAACUAAGCCGUUAGCCCAUGCCUUAAUUGUUGCUGAAUAUUAAAUUUUGUCCGCUGAGCUGAGUUGGAUUUUUUUUCCUAUGAACACUCACUAAACUUACACAUUUCUGAGCAUCUAAACACAUUUCUACCAAUCAGUAACAUUAUCUGGCACAUAGCACUACUUUGGGGUUCCUACAGCUCAUACUAGAGCUUCUUAAAUAACUUUCCAAGGGUAAACAUGGGGACAAAUAAUAAAAACAAGACUUGCUCCGUAUAAAGCCAUCUGGAGCAUGGCAAGCUUCCAUAGAAAGAAAGGAGCAAGGCAUUGAAGGAAAAAGAAAUUUUCACCU